rnacentral:rRNA from 1 species
UACGUAGGGUGCAAGCGUUGUCCGGAAUUAUUGGGCGUAAAGAGCUCGUAGGCGGUCUGUCGCGUCUGCUGUGAAAACUCGGGGCUUAACCCCGGGCCUGCAGUGGGUACGGGCAGACUAGAGUGCGGUAGGGGAGACUGGAAUUCCUGGUGUAGCGGUGAAAUGCGCAGAUAUCAGGAGGAACACCGGUGGCGAAGGCGGGUCUCUGGGCCGUAACUGACGCUGAGACGCGAAAGCGUGGGGAGCAAACGGG